rnacentral:rRNA from 1 species
CCCUAGCUGGUCUGAGAGGAUGACCAGCCACACUGGAACUGAGACACGGUCCAGACUCCUACGGGAGGCAGCAGUGGGGAAUAUUGCACAAUGGGCGCAAGCCUGAUGCAGCCAUGCCGCGUGUAUGAAGAAGGCCUUCGGGUUGUAAAGUACUUUCAGCGGGGAGGAAGGGAGUAAAGUUAAUACCUUUGCUCAUUGACGUUACCCGCAGAAGAAGCACCGGCUAACUCCGUGCCAGCAGCCGCGGUAAUACGGAGGGUGCAAGCGUUAAUCGGAAUUACUGGGCGUAAAGCGCACGCAGGCGGUUUGUUAAGUCAGAUGUGAAAUCCCCGGGCUCAACCUGGGAACUGCAUCUGAUACUGGCAAGCUUGAGUCUCGUAGAGGGGGGUAGAAUUCCAGGUGUAGCGGUGAAAUGCGUAGAGAUCUGGAGGAAUACCGGUGGCGAAGGCGGCCCCCUGGACGAAGACUGACGCUCAGGUGCGAAAGCGUGGGGAGCAAACAGGAUU